rnacentral:tRNA from 1 species
GAGAUGGUGGCUCAGUGGUUAAGAGCACUGACUGCUCUUCCAGAGGUCCUGAGUUCAAAUCCCAGCAACCGCA